UAAGAUAAUAAAGGCUUUCGACCGUCCACCACAUUGGUGUUAGCGUGUUGUCGUUAGCCCGAGUAGCCCGGACGAGGCUGAGCUGCCGUGCUGUCGCCUUGCAACCAGGUCGCACAUUGCCUCCCCUGAAGGCAACACUUCCCACAUGUGUUCCCAAAUUUCUGUCAAAUUUCUGACUAAAGCUCCCCACAGAACUGGAUUUCCUGCAGAAGUUGGUGUUGGCAAGCAAGCUCUUAUAGAAGUUACAUUCUGUAAUCUGCCAAAAUAUUGCACUAACUUUAAGACCACAUUUCUCUUGCUAGAGAUUAACAACAUAGUUUCUAUAAUUAUUAUGAAUAUGCAAUUAUUUAUUGUAUUUAUCUAGAGCCAAUAGAAAAUAAUAUCCUAUACCUAAAACAAUAGUAUUUAUAUAUUUAAAAAAAUCCACUGUGUUAAUCA